rnacentral:rRNA from 1 species
UACGUAGGGGGCGAGCGUUGUCCGGAAUCAUUGGGCGUAAAGCGCGCGUAGGCGGUCCGGUAAGUCGGCUGUGAAAGUCCAGGGCUCAACCCUGGGAUGCCGGUCGAUACUGCCGGACUAGAGUUCGGAAGAGGCGAGUGGAAUUCCCGGUGUAGCGGUGAAAUGCGCAGAUAUCGGGAGGAACACCAAUGGCGAAGGCAGCUCGCUGGGACGUUACUGACGCUGAGACGCGAAAGCGUGGGGAGCAAACAGG